rnacentral:rRNA from 1 species
CCAAUAGCGUAUAUUAAAGUUGUUGCAGUUAAAAAGCUCGUAGUUGAAUUUCGGGGUUAGUAGGUUGGUCAUGCCUCUGGUGUGUACUGGUCUCACUGAUUCCUCCUUCCUGACGAACCGUAAUGCCAUUAAUUUGGUGUUGCGGGAAAUUUGGACUGUUACUUUGAAAAAAUUAGAGUGUUUAAAGCAAGCUAACGCUUGAAUACAUUAGCAUGGAAUAAUGAAAUAGGACGUUCGAUCCUAUUUUGUUGGUUUCUAGGAUUGACGUAAUGAUUAAUAGGGAUAGUUGGGGGCAUUAGUAUUCAAUUGUCAGAGGUGAAAUUCUUGGAUUUAUUGAAGACUAACUACUGCGAAAGCAUUUGCCAAGGAUGUUUUCAUUAAUCAAGAACGAAAGUUAGGGGAUCGAAGACGAUCAGAUACCGUCGUAGUCUUAACCAUAAACUAUGCCGACUAGGGAUCGGAUGAUGUUAAUUUUUUAAUGACUCAUUCGGCGCCUUAUG